AACGUAGGAGCCUAGCGUUAUCCGAAUUCACUGGGCGUAAAGCGCGUGCAGGCGGUUCGGUAAGUUGGAUGUGAAAUCUCCUGGCUCAACUGGGAGAGGACGUUCAAGACUGUCGGACUAGAGGACGGUAGAGGAAGGUAGAAUUCCCGGUGUAGUGGUGAAAUGCGUAGAUAUCGGGAGGAAUACCAGUGGCGAAGGCGGCCUUCUGGGCCACUACUGACGCUGAGAAGCGAAAGCAUGGGGAGCGAACAGG
rnacentral:rRNA from 1 species